rnacentral:lncRNA from 1 species
ACCCAGGUGCUUCACACUCGUAGCCUUCGCCUCACAGAAGCCCACGUGAAAGGAGGAGGAGUCUUAGGACUAGCUGAAUGGAAAGAGAGGAAAAGGGAAGACAAGGGCUAACACUUUGAGCUUGUUUGUCUCAGAAUAUUGUUUCCUUUAGUAGAAAUGGGAUUGGAAGAUAUUAGAGACGUCAUCUGUGAUGAAUGUGGGAAUGUGUGCAGAAACCGACACAUUUCUUUGGCUUCCUUGGAGUGC